rnacentral:rRNA from 1 species
GACGUAGGGCGCGAGCGUUGUCCGGAUUUAUUGGGCGUAAAGAGCUCGUAGGCGGCUUGUCGCGUCGAAUGUGAAAACCUGCAGCUCAACUGCAGGCUUGCAUUCGAUACGGGCAGGCUCGAGUUCGGUAGGAGAGUGGAAUUCCUGGUGUAGCGGUGAAAUGCGCAGAUAUCAGGAAGAACACCGAUGGCGAAGGCAGCUCUCUGGGACGGUACUGACGCUGAGACGCGAAAGCGUGGGGAGCGAACGGG